CCCAUCCCCACCCAAAAUUAGGGUUUUAGAUUAGGGGAAUGGAAGCUAGCCUGCGUCGCGAGUUACCGUGGAGGUGCGAGAGGAGAUGAUGGUCCGAUUCAGGGUUUUGUUGGCUUAUGGAGGCACGAUGCUUGCGCAAGAUGUUGUGUUGUUCUAGGUGGCACGAUGGUGUUCACGAAUGGAGGAGAUCGCGACGAAGGAUUUCACGAUUUUAAGAUUCUAGUUCUUUGCCGUGAUUUCUAGGUGGUUCCAUGGAGGUUGAACAAAUUUGGCGUGCGUCAGGAUGAAGAAGAUUCAUUUGGAAAUUAGGGUUUUCCUUUUUCUGGGUCUGGUUUCAGUUUGCAGGUUGACGAAGAUGGAGAAAGAACUCGCAAUUUGGUGCGAAAAGUCUUGCGGUGGUGGAAGGAGUAGACUGAUCAUGAUUUUGGGGCUUGUUGUGGUUUUCUGGUUUUAGGUGGUUCGCGAACAUGCUUCACGGUGGAGAUUGGUGAUCUGAUUCGCGAUUCUGUGACGGCUUUACGCUGUUUCUGAGUGGUUACAGGAAGCAUUCCUGAUGUUUAAUUCAUUCUUUCCAGUUUGUUUUUUAAUAAUAAAAUAGACAGGUUAGAAUCAUGGAAA